GACGAACCGUGCGAACGUUGUUCGGAAUCACUGGGCUUAAAGGGCGCGUAGGCGGGCCAUAAAGGCAGGGGGGAAAUCCUCCAGCUUAACUGGAGAACUGCCUUUGAUACUGAUGGUCUCGAGUAAGGUAGGGGCAUGCGGAACUGAUGGUGGAGCGGUGAAAUGUGUUGAUAUCAUCAGGAACUCCGGUGGCGAAAGCGGCAUGCUGGACCUUCACUGACGCUGAUGCGCGAAAGCUAGGGGAGCGAACGGG
rnacentral:rRNA from 1 species